CGACGUGAGGAUGGGCUGGCUGCCAUGUCUGUCAUCCCAGCGAUCCCCAGAGUUGAUCGGCUGUGUGGCUGGCUAGGCAUGUGUCUUCCUCCUCCCUCACUGCUCUACCUGCGUCCCUCCUGAAGCUAAGCACUCAAAGAGGAUGACCUUCCUUGAUGGAGGAGGAUCUUUCUUCAGUCAGGGGUAUGCCAGUGGCUGCGCUAUCCUGCUGGAACCCCCAAACAAGUUUUCAUUU
rnacentral:sRNA from 1 species